CGGCGACGAUUAAUCCGUCUGUUUUAUUCGUAUUAAAGACGAAUCGAGUUCAGACUUUCCUUGGGAGUAACAAUCAAAGUGACAGGCAUCUACAGUACGUGUCAAGUACUGCGAAUAUUGAGGAUGAAAAAUGUUUCGUCGAAUGUUGGCGGUCACAAUGUGAUACAGAGUAUCAUACCUAUAUGUACACAUAGAGAAAGUGUAAUGGCGCAUUUAUAAAGAAUAGAUCUGCUACAGAUUGCAAUGCUGCGAGCGCUACCCUUCUUCCUAAGAUAAAACAAGUUCAGAUUCUUUUCGGGAGUGUCGAUUAAAGUAACGGGAGAGUGCGGAAUGUGCGGCACUGCAGAUUCUUUUUGGGUGCGCCGAAUAAAGUAACCGGCGAGUACGGAAUGUGCGGCACUGCAGAUUUUUUUUGGGAGCGCCGAAUAAAGUAACGGGCGAGUACGAAAUGCGCGGGCGAGUUCGAAAUGCGCGGGCGAGUGCGAAAUGUACAGAGUAUUACACGUAUACGCAUACAUGUAGAGAAAGUGUAAUGGCGCAUUUAUGAAGAAUAAAUCCGCCAAAAAUUGCAAUAGUACGAGCGCCACCUUUUGGCCUGAGAUAAAACAAGUGCAGAUUCUUUUCGGGAGUGUCGAUUAAAGUAACGGGCGAUUGCGAAAUGCGCGGGCAAGUGCGAAAUGUACGGAAUAUCGCAUCAUAGUGCACACACACAGAAAAAGUGUAAUGGUGUAAUGGUGCACUUAUGAAGAAUAGAUCCGCCACAGACUGCAGCGAGCGUCAACCCUUCUGUCUAAAAUAAAACAAGUGCAGAUUAUUUUCGGGAGUGUCGAUUAAAGUAACGGGCCAGUGCGAAAUACGCGGGCGAGUGCGGAAUGUACGGGCGAGUAUGAGUAUGAACCGAUGUUUGCAAUUAUAGGCGUUUUGCGAUUUUGGCGUUCCAUCGAUUAUCUGGCGAUUGGAUCGUGAAGCAGAUUAUAAUUUUAUUUAGUAUAAAUUUUGACACCAUAAACAAACAGAAUCAUUUUUACAUUGACUUAAAAGAAUCGAAUCGUAGUGCACUUUUUAUUAAAUGUAGCAUGUGGAAAAUUAUUGAUAUUAUAUUCGGCUUAUGUAUAUAAAAUGUAAUGUUCAUGUUCCUACUUGACGAUCUCCACCAAGAUUAUUGAUGUUUGUGUCGGUUAUUAUAUGUUACAAAGUACGUAAUGUCGAGUCUAUCAUUGCGUAUGUAAUAUUUUUGUAUAUUUGGCUGCAAGUAUAUUUGGCACAAAGUACGUUUUAUGUUUCGAGUAUCGUCUUUAACGUUUCGUAUUUCGGCGAGGAAAAUUCAUGACAUGAAUUCGUGAGUAUACAAGUGAGUGAACAAGUGGUGAUCUUUGAUGUUGAUCAAAUCUUCGUUGGAAUUCAUCAGAAUAGUCCUGGGCAGGA